rnacentral:rRNA from 1 species
CCUACGUGAGGCAGCAGUGGGGAAUAUUGGGCAAUGGGCGCAAGCCUGACCCAGCAACGCCGCGUGAAGGAAGAAGGCUUUCGGGUUGUAAACUUCUUUUCUCAGGGACGAAGCAAGUGACGGUACCUGAGGAAUGAGCCACGGCUAACUACGUGCCAGCAGCCGCGGUAAUACGUAGGUGGCAAGCGUUAUCCGGAUUUACUGGGUGUAAAGGGCGUGUAGGCGGGAAAGCAAGUCAGAUGUGAAAACCAUGGGCUCAACCUGUGGCCUGCAUUUGAAACUGUUUUUCGUGAGUACUGGAGAGGCAGACGGAAUUCCUAGUGUAGCGGUGAAAUGCGUAGAUAUUAGGAGGAACACCAGUGGCGAAGGCGGUCUGCUGGACAGCAACUGACGCUGAGGCGCGAAAGCGUGGGGAGCAAACAGGAUUAGAUACCCUUGUAGUC